AUAUUCUCUUUCACGAAAGCUGUUUGGGAAGCAUUUCAUAACCCUGGAGCUGCUGUCAUCAAUGGCCUGAACCCUUCCAUCUUAAGCAGUGAUCACUCUUCUACUGAAUAUAUAGAACGCAGACUAGAAUAGAUGGUUUGAAGCUGCAGGACACUCCCCUUAAUGAGAACAACUAGUGGUGAAAAAGUGGAGACUACUAAAUACCCGCUCCUUUCAGGACAUUUCUGUCCUGUUUUGGCCUAAGGCUGUGAAAACAAUGAAGGGAGAGAAAGUUCUCUUGAAUAUUAAGCCAAAAUGUAAGUCAAAUUUUUGUGUUUAUUGAGUUUUUUAAGUUCUGCAGAUGCAUGUGUUUAGUUACUUUGUUAUGCAUCAAAUUUAGUAUUGUAGUUGUACAUCAUGUUAAUUUAAUUAGGCUUAUUUCGAUUUUUUAAUAGACGAUAAAUAAUUUAUAAUUAGCUUGGAUUUUGGGCAUGGAUUCAUAAUUAGCAUUUUAUAAUUAUAAUUUUUUUGAAAAGCUUGGAUAUUGUUGCGAAAUUGCUAGGAUAUUUAGCUAGAGUUUUAUUGUGAAAUCGUUGUGACAAUAUCCUAGCGAUUUA